CAGAUGAAAAAAGUGUGAGCGAGGGGUGGACAGCAGCGAAGAAGGAGUGGGCUGCGGUGAAAACCUAGCCCCCGAUCCUUCCGCCCUCCCUUGAAUCUUCUCCCCGCCCCGCAGCCGCCUCCCCGAGCUCUCUCCAAUCUCUCAUCUCCUCCCUUCCUCCUCGUCCACGUACGCGCUCGCCUCCGGCCACCUCCGCGGCCAGCCCUCCUCUAUCUUCUUCUUCUCUCCAUCUCCAUCUCCUUCUCCUAUCCAUCUCCAUCUCCCUCUCCUCUCCUCUCUCCUCCACGUGCCCAACACCCGCGCGCUUGCCUCCUGCACCAACCGCAGCCGCUCCAUCGGGGCUCAGCCGGCGCGGGUUGCCAUGGGGAAGGAGCAAUGUGGCGCACACUUCAUGAGGUGUAGGAGAAGACAUGGGUGAGCUCCAGCGCCAGGUGAGGAAGGAGGGGUUUACGGGCCGGAUCUGGCGGGUGAUAGGUUGGAGCUCGAGCUCGAGACUGAGACAGGGAAGGUGAGGAGGAGGCGAGGGAGAGGCGAAGAUGGCAGCGUGGAUGAAAGGAGAGAAGAGGUCGGUGACGCAGAUGAAGGCGAGGAGCAGCCGGUGGCAUGGAUCAAGGGGGAGAGCACCGUCGUCGUCGGUGAUGCACAUAUGGGAAAGAGGGAGGUGAGAGCGCCGAUCCAGGAGGCGGCUUGGCUCGGCCCAGCCAUGGAGCUGGCAUUGGAGACUCCCCGCUGACCUCCUUGGCAAGAGAUGUUGUGCCUGUAGAUGUUCCUGAAUUUGUCUUUGUAGUGGUCGGGUGCUGCCACAAAACGUGUGACUAUAGUAAGAUGCAGUUCUCGACAAUCGCUAUUAGGUGCUCUCUCCCUGUUGGUUUUUUGUUUUUCUGGUUUUGAUUUCCUGGUAUUCAUUUUAUCUAAACACCACAAUCUAUCAGAUCUGAGAGAGAAGAGGAACAGAAGGGCACGGUGGAAGAAUUUGGUGAAGAACAAGGUGACUCUCUCUCUUCCAUGUGAACACGGUUCAUUUUGCUUUUAUAAUUUGUGCUAAUAAUAAUGUUUUAAAUAGCGGGCUAUGGCAUUUAGCGGCAACCCUUAAAAACAGCUAUAGCGGCAAAUUGUACAUGAAAUCAUUUAGCGGCAACACCCUCAAACAGCUAUAGCGGGGCUAUAGCCGACUAUUUAAAACUAUGCCUAAUAUACAUGAGUUGUGCAUAUUGAGCUAAAUGUAUUGGAAAAAUGGUCUGGUUGCAGAACAUUUGGUAGAAUUUUUUUUAUUCAAGAUGGAACAAGUUUGUUAUCGAUAUUCCUGUAAAUGGUUUGUAUAGUUUGUUUUUUUAUUAAGCAAACAUACGGUUGUAUGGUUAUCAAAAUUCAGAGGUUCUGCGAUGGCAUCAAGAUAGUCUCUUUUUUUAUUUCCCAUUUAACAUUACCAAACAGAACAAAGAUAGCUACAAAGAAGAGCAUAUAUAUUUGAAAUACUUGUGUGAUAUCUGCACUCUUGUCCUCAUAUAUCUCAAUCAAGUAGACCCACUUUUUUUAUGUGCAGAUGUUGGAGCAGCAAACAUUUAUGUUUGCCGCCCGUACUCACGCACAGGUGUAACGUCAUUCAUACAUCAGGUAUCUAUGCAUGACGCGAGAUAAGCCAGAGAAACCACUCCUCGUGAGAUCAAGGAGAGCAUUAAGAAGAUCAAGUUGAAAGGAGAUCACCUGAGGGAAGCCUCCCUUGCCAGACUGUUAGCUAUCUAAUCACACCAAAAUGACCAUUUUGCCACUGUGCUCGCCCCUUAAGCUAUAAAAGGAGGCCCGAGGCGACCUAGCAAGGGGUUCAAAUUUUAGACCCCCCAACACUUGUACGUACACGCUGCUCCCCCCGAGGAACCCUUGCCGGUCUAGAGCACGUCGUGUCUUCGUGUUCCUCCAGAUCAAUCCACCACAGUAGGAGUAGAGUUUUAUGCUGCAAAGCGGCCCGAACCCGGGCAAAAGAGAGCUGUCCAUCGCCGCGCUACCCCUGCCGUUUCUGCUCUUUGUGCAAUGUGAUCGUCCCCUUGCCGAACCUCAAAGGGGCACCCCUACCCCAUAGGUGAUCGUUCUUCCACGCCGAGAGCUGAUAUGCUUUGGAAUUUAGUAACAAUCACCUUGCGUAAUGCAGACUAACAUGGGAACGAAGGACGAUGAUCUUCUUGAACGUUUAAUGGUUUGACCCCUCCCUCCCAUUCUUGUUCUUGGCACCAUGAACUGAACUGUGCUCUUGAAAAUAUAAACAAACUUAUGAAACUGAUUUUUUUUGUUGCCCAUGCGGCUAUCUUUUGUUUUGAUAUGCAUCUAAUAUUGGUGAUGGUUGCGUUGCUGUAGUGUUCUGUUUUCUGCUUAUAAAUAUUUGUUGGUACUUUCGAAUUUGGGAUUACUUGCUUAGUUGCUGGAUUGAGAAACAUGAAUCCGUGAUUCUUUUGAUUUAUCCCAUAUGUGUGCAGGCUGGGCUGAGUUGCUGGAUAGAGAAAUAAAUUUUGUAUACUUGUUUGAUGUCUCAUUUGUUCAAACGAGUGAAAGCCUUAAAUUGCACAUAUGCUAUUAUGAUCAUCAGAUUGUUUGCUGCAUUCUGAGUUUGUAGUGUUACAUAGAGGAAUGCAACUCAUAUAUAUGGUCCUUUUAUGCUUAGAUUAUCAUAUUGGUUGUGUUGAUUGUUCUAUUUUAUUCCUUAUGAAUAAUUCCCAAGCGCACUUUGGUUAUAUUUCUUGAGGGAAAUAAUGCUAAUGUUGUACCUAUUGUUCCAUCACUAUUAGGACUAAUGGUUUUGUCCCUCCUGGGCAGAUGGCUCGGAUGCAUUCUUAUAUGCUACAUCCUCAUGGUAUUCCUCAAUCUUUAGCCUUGCCCAACUCUGGUCUUCCUCGGUUUGGUACUUCUCAGCCUACAAUCCAACCUACCUUACACUGGCCUGAUGAGUAGGCAAUUUAUUAUACUCACAAGCACAUCAUUUAUUGUAUCAUCCAGGUAGAGAUGGCAUAUUGGAGCAAGCAUCAUGUCAGGUUUAGGGCAUACAAAACCUUUAGUAUGUAGAAAUUUCGCCCCAUAGUUACUGUACACCGGCUGGAGAGAAAUUAUUGGACAGAUGCCCCAAUUAUAAGAAAGAAUAAUUUCAUAAAUCAGAGGGAGAUAUGCUCUCAUAAAUUGCUCACCGUUUGAAGGUUUAAUACAUAUCGUCCUGAUGAAGCCGUUUUUCUGUUUGUAGUUUCCUAUAUCAACAACUCCCUAUAUUACCCCGAAAUGGAUUAUUGCUUAUUUAUUUUUUCUUAUUCACACAUUUAUUUAGUUCAGAGGAAUACCAGUCAUUUACAAACACAACUGAUGGCAAUGUUCGCAUGGAUUAGAAAGAAAAAAUAGUGAUGCCAAAAUAUAAUUUGAUCACACCGCAUUACAAUGUUGUGGUUUGCCAAAGAACUGAGCAAUGGUUCACAUGGAUUGCUGAAAAUAUUAGUAACAGAAUGACAAGUGCAUCAUAAGAACUAAAUAAUCUGGAACUUAUAUAUAUAUAUAUUUUAAAUUAUGCAUUCAUUGCUGAAAAUAUUGUUUGAUGUAUGCAUCACCUCUCUUCCAUUUAACUAGAUUUCUAUAUCUUAUACUAGGAUGUCGAUGCCGAUGCUUCUCUGGCUGCUACUGAGGAUGGCAGUGAUCCUUUCACCCACCUAAAAUCAAAGACGGGUUGUUCUUCCCAUCGCUUGUUUAUUUAUGCUAUGAAGUAAACAGGUACAAUGAUCCUCUUUCGCUAAACAUGGGUGUCUGGAACUUAAGGAACACUAGUGGUGGGAAAGCAGCUGGAGGAAACAAGAAAGCGCAGUAACUACUUUCCUAUGGUACUUGUUGCGUGCUUGUUGCUGAUUGCACACCCUAUGGUGCUUGAUGCCGAUUGCAAUGGCAACGCUUCAUCUCCGCAGGCGAUCCAAGCUGUGCUCGUCAUCUACACUAGUGUUAAAACUAUAUUCAGGCGUGACUAUAUGCAUGCCAUUUGUGUAAUAGAAUAUUUAUAGCAAAUAUCCACUAUAAUUUAUUCUUUCGUGUAGGCACAUGCCUUUUCUCUCUUUAACACAGUACAUUAGUUAAGAAUUUUCAA